CGCACAUUGCGCCCCUUGGUACUCCGGGGGGCAUGCCUGUCCGAGCGUCAUUGAAAACCAUCAAGCCUGGCUUGGUCUUGGGCGCGGUCUUGGGACCCGCCCGCAACCCGUCGGCGGUGCCGGUUCGGCCCUGAGCGUAGCAGAAGUACUCGCUCUGGGGCCGCUGCGGUACCCGCCAGCAACCCUUACAUCUACAGUUUGACCUCGGAUCAGGUAGGGAUACCCGCUGAACUUAA
rnacentral:misc_RNA from 1 species